UGGGGAAUAUUGGACAAUGGGCGAAAGCCUGAUCCAGCCAUGCCGCGUGUGUGAAGAAGGUCUUCGGAUUGUAAAGCACUUUAAGUUGGGAGGAAGGGCAUUAACCUAAUACGUUAGUGUUUUGACGUUACCGACAGAAUAAGCACCGGCUAACUCUGUGCCAGCAGCCGCGGUAAUACAGAGGGUGCAAGCGUUAAUCGGAAUUACUGGGCGUAAAGCGCGCGUAGGUGGUUUGUUAAGUUGGAUGUGAAAUCCCCGGGCUCAACCUGGGAACUGCAUUCAAAACUGACUGACUAGAGUAUGGUAGAGGGUGGUGGAAUUUCCUGUGUAGCGGUGAAAUGCGUAGAUAUAGGAAGGAACACCUGUGGCGAAGGCGACCACCUUGACUAAUACUGACACUGAGGUGCGAAAGCGUGGGGAGCAAACA
rnacentral:rRNA from 1 species